rnacentral:rRNA from 1 species
AUUGAACGCUGGCGGAAUGCCUAACACAUGCAAGUCGAGCGGGGUGUAGCAAUACACCUAGCGGCGGACGGGUGAGGAAUACAUAGGAAUCUACCUUUAAGUGGGGGAUAGCCCGGGAAACCGNUUAAUCCGCAUGAUCUCGCAAGAGCAAAGCGGGGACCUAAGGCCUCGCGCUGAAAGAUGAGCCUAUGUCGGAUUAGCUAGUUGGCGGGGUAAAGCCCACCAAGGCGACGAUCCGUAGCUGGUCUGAGAGGACGAUCAGCCACACCGGAACUGAGACACGGUCCGGACUCCUACGGGAGGCAGCAGUGGGGAA